UUAUUCAAAGUGCAUUAAUUUUAUAACAGAUGUCUGGGGCUGUGAUAAAAGUCUAUUUUACUAUAUGGUGACGGAUGCCUAUAUUUUGCGGGAUACCGGUAUCUGCUUCCGACACAUCCUUACUUAUUACUAGCUCUGUUUCUUUAGGAACUUUUCACAGGAUGCUUCUUUAAAUCUUACCAUUGAACCAAGGAAUGUCAACACUACAAGAUGAAAGUCUGCACGAUGCUUUUAAAAAAGGGGAUCUUCGCAAAGUACAAGAGAUCUUGCAAAAAGACUCGGAUAUCAUCAACAGGUUGAAUCAACGUGGCGGUCUCUUGGGCAACACUCCAUUGCACGACGCUGCAUAUCACGGUCAUGUUGAUAUCUUACAACUGUUGCUUAACCAUGGUGCCAGUGUGAACGCGGUGGACAAUGAUGGUGAUACACCAUUGCACAAAGCUGCAUGUGAAGGUCAUGUUGAUAUCUUACAACUGUUGCUUAACCAUGGUGCCAGUGUGAACGCGGUGGACAAUGUUGGUAAUACUCCAUUGCAGCAAGCUGCAUAUCACGGUCAUGUUGAUAUCUUACAAAUGUUGCUUAACCAUGGUGCCAGUGUGAACGCGGUGAACAAGGGUGGUGAUACACCAUUGUACGAAGCUGCAUCUCGCGGUCAUGUUGAUAUCUUACAACUGUUGCUUAACCAUGGUGGCAGUGUGAACGCGGUGAACAAUGAUGGUGAUACACCAUUGUACGAAGCUGCAUUUAAAAGUCAUGUUGAUAUCUUACAAAUGUUGCUUAACCAUGGUGCCAGUGUGAACGCGGUGAACAAUGUUGGUCAUACACCAUUGCACGAAGCUGCAGAUGAAGGUCAUGUUGAUAUCUUACAACUGUUGCUUAACCAUGGUGCCAGUGUGAACGCGGUGGAAAGUGGUGGUGAUACACCAUUGCACUACGCUGCACGUGAAGGUCAUGUUGAUAUCUUACAACUGUUGCUUAACCAUGGUGCCAGUGUGAACGCGGUGGAGAUCAUGGGUGAUACACCAUUGCACGACGCUGCAUCUCGCGGUCAUGUUGAUAUUUUACAAAUGUUGCUCAACCAUGGUGCCAGUGUGAACGCGGUGGACAACAUGGGUGAUACACCAUUGCACGACACUGCAUCUCAAGGUCAUGUUGAUAGCUUACAACUGUUGCUUAACCAUGGUGCCAGCGUGAACGCGGUGAACAAGCAGGGUCAUACACCAUUGCACAAAGCUGCAUCUCGGGCUCGUGUGAAAUGCAUUAAGGUUUGUUUCUCUCGUGAGAUAGUCAAUGUUCAGCAGCUCAGUUAAUCCUCGCAAUUUUUGGUAGAAAUAGGCAAAGAGAUAAUGCCGCUGAAAAUUGAAUAAACAAUAUCAGUUUUUUUGCAGGGACGGUGGAACGAUGUAUGUGUGUGGGGGGGGGGGAGCACAGAUUUUUGAGGUAGGUCCCUUUUUAAUGGGUUCAUAAUUUGUAAUUUUCGCCUUAUGAAGCGAACAUGUAAUGAUUUUUUUAAAUACUCGAAUAUUUCUCGAAUACCAAAAAGGGCACCUUUGCCUUCCCCCCCUGGGGAA
rnacentral:lncRNA from 1 species